rnacentral:rRNA from 1 species
CCGAAAGAGAACCUGAACACAGGUGCUGCAUGGCUGUCGUCAGCUCGUGUCGUGAGAUGUUGGGUUAAGUCCCGCAACGAGCGCAACCCUUGUCAUUAAUUGCCAUCAUUCAGUUGGGCACUUUAAUGAGACUGCCGGUGACAAACCGGAGGAAGGUGGGGAUGACGUCAAGUCCUCAUGGCCCUUAUGGGUAGGGCUUCACACGUCAUACAAUGGUCGGUACAGAGGGUUGCCAACCCGCGAGGGGGAGCCAAUCCCACAAAGCCGAUCGUAGUCCGGAUCGCAGUCUGCAACUCGACUGCGUGAAGUCGGAAUCGCUAGUAAUCGUGGAUCAGCAUGUCACGGUGAAUACGUUCCCGGGUCUU